rnacentral:rRNA from 1 species
UAAUGUAUGGGGAUCUGCCCGAUAGGGGGGAGUAACUACUAGGAAACGGGGGCUAAUACCGCAUAAUGUCUACGGACCAAAGCAGGGGCUCUUCGGACCUUGCACUAUCGGAUGAACCCAUAUGGGAUUAGCUAGUAGGUGGGGUAAAGGCUCACCUAGGCGACGAUCUCUAGCUGGUCUGAGAGGAUGAUCAGCCACACUGGGACUGAGACACGGCCCAG